rnacentral:lncRNA from 1 species
AGACGGACAGCGGCGGAGAGGCGGACAGCGGCGGAGAGGCGGACAGCGGCGGCGCGGCGGAGAGACGGACAGCGGCGGAGAGGCGGACAGCGGCGGCGAGGCGCGCAGCGGCGGCGCAGGCGCGGAGAGGCGCUGGCGCCGGCUCUGGCGCGGAGAGGCGCAGGCCCAGGCUCCACUCCCCAGCUGUGAAAGGGUUUUCUGCCUCCUGCUAAGCCAAUUUAUACAUUCCAAGAAAAUCUUCCAUUUCAUCCAGGUGAAACAGAACCUACUGGAAUGAAGCUGGCCUCCCAUGGAAUGAAGCUGGCCUCCCGUCUCCUUGAUUUGAAGCAGCUUCUCCACGUUGGUUAUUAUGUCAUUUUUCUAAAUCUAACAUUUUAAAAUUUGUGCCUUUUCUUUCUCUUUUGCUUGACUUCUCAGAGGUUUUUUUAAUGGUCUUUUCAAAGAAGUGGUUUUGGGUUUUAUUUAUCAAGUCUACUUUUAUUAUGGCUGUUUUAAAAUUAAAUACAUUUAUUUCUUGUUUCCCUUAAAAAAGCUUCUUGUAUGUUUACUUAGUUUAUAUAAUUUUAUAUGUCUUCUGUUGAAGCAUAUUAACAAACACUUCCAGCUAUAACGUUUCCCCUGAGAACUGCUUUGGACACAUCCAGAGAUUUUGAUAGGUCAC